AAAAUAAGAUAUGCGUGCGAGCUUAAGUGUUUUAAGUAUAAGUUAUAUACGGCGAAACUGCGAAUGGCUCAUUAAAUCAGUUAUAGUAUAUUUGAUAAUGUUUUUAUACGGAUAACCGUUGGGAAACCAGAGCUAAUACGUGCUUAAAGACCUUCGGGUUGUAUUUAUUAGCUAUAAACCAUUGGCAUCUGCCUUUGUGAGGAGUCAUAAUAACUGAUCGGAGCGCACUUGUGUGCGCUAAAUCUUUCUAGUUUCUGCCUUAUCAGCUUCGAUGGUAGUGUAUUGGACUACCAUGGCGAUCACGGGUAACGGAGAAUUAGGGUUCGAUUCCGGAGAGGGAGCCUGAGAAACGGCUACCACGUCCACGGUAGGCAGCAGGCGCGUAAAUUACCCAAUCCUGACUCAGGGAGGUAGUCACAAGCAAUAUAAGAUCGGUUCAUUCCGAGGCUUAUCUGGGUUGAAUAUAAACCAUUUUUCGAAAUCAAUUGGAGGGCAAGUCUGGUGCCAGCAGCCGCGGUAAUUCCAGCUCCAAUAGUGUAUCUUAAUGUUGUUGCAGUUAAAAAGCUCGUAGUUGAAUUUCUGGCCGGACGCCUCGACUAAUCAGUCUUGGAUGUCUAGGUCAUCCGUACUGUAGACGUUUCUCGACUACCCGUCAGUUCGUUGAAGGUACAUUUUACUUUGAAGAAAUUAGAGUGUUCAUGGCAGGCUUUGCUUGAAUACACCAGCAUGGAAUAAUGGAAAAGGACCUGUCCAUUUUAUUGGUUAUUGGACUAGGUAAUGAUUAACAGGGACAGUUGGGGGCAUUCGUAUUGAGUCGUCAGCGGUGAAAUGCUGUGAUUGGCUCAAGACGAACUAAUGCGAAAGCAUUUGCCAAGGAUGUUUUCAUUAAUCAAGAACGAAAGUUAGGGGAUCAAAGACGAUUAGAUACCGUCGUAGUCCUAACUAUAAACUAUACCGACUAGGGAUUGGUAGGCGGAAGUCGCCUAUCAGGACCUAAUGAGAAAUCAAAGUCUUUGGGUUCUGGGGGGAGUAUGGUCGCAAGGCUGAAACUUAAAGGAAUUGACGGAAGGGCACCACCAGGAGUGGAGCCUGCGGCUUAAUUUGACUCAACACGGGGAAACUUACCAGGGCAAGACUCAAGUAUGAUUGACAGAUUGAGAGCUUUUUCUUGAUAAUGGGGAUGGUGGUGCAUGGCCGUUCUUAGUUGGUGGAGUGAUUUGUCAGGUUAAUUCCCUUAACAAACGAGACCUUAACCUGCUAAACUAGGUGCGCUUAUUUUAGGCGUUAUCCUUCUUAGAGGGACUUUUGGUGUAAGCCAAAGGAAGUUUGAGGCAAUAACAGGUCCGUGAUGCCCUUAGAUGUCCUGGGCCGCACGCGUGCUACACUGACUCUUGCAACAAGUUAUACCUAACCCGAAAGGGGCCGGAUAAUCUUUACAAUGAGAGUCGUGCUAGGGAUUGAUCUUUGCAAUUUUGGAUCAUGAACGAGGAAUUCCUAGUAAGCAUAAGUCAUCAACUUGUGCUGAUUACGUCCCUGCCCUUUGUACACACCGCCCGUCGCUCCUACCGAUUGAAUGAACUGGUGAACUUUCUGGACUUUUGGUUAUGCCGUGAGGAAGUUAAGUAAACCUUAUCAUUAGCCGACGCAGAAUGCUCAUACGGACC
rnacentral:rRNA from 1 species